rnacentral:ncRNA from 1 species
ACGGCGGGAGUAACUAUGACUCUCUUAAGGUAGCCAAAUGCCUCGUCAUUUAAUUGGUGACGCGCAUGAAUGGAGCAACGAGAUUCCUACUGUCCCUACUUACAAUUUUGUGAAACCACUAUACAAGGGAACGGGCUUGUUAUUUAUCAGCGGGGAAAGAAGACCCUGUUGAGCUUGACUUUAGUAUGUUCUAAUAAUUAUUCGAUAUAUUGUAGAGAGGUGGGAGAUUAUUUGUGAAACCACUAGUAUGUUUGAAUAAUUAUUUAUUUUGUUGAAUAUAUGGGGAGUUUGGCUGGGGCGGUACAGCUGUUAAAAAGUAACACAGCUGUCCUAAGGUAGAUGAAUGAUGGAUGGUAACCAUCAGUUUAUUAUAAGGGAAUGAAUCUGCUUUAGUUUAUACAUAUGACUGUAUUUAGUAGGGAAACCUUGGCCUAGCGAUCCCAAUUACAUUCAUUAUGUAUUGGGUGAUUGAAAAGUUACCACAGGGCCCUCCACAAUGAGAGCGUCCACGUCGCGGAGGGUGGGACUGGGGUUUUAUAACUACAGGUGCGAAUCUCAUAAGUCUUACCACUACCUUCUGGCUGCUGGCAUGGU